rnacentral:rRNA from 1 species
CCCUUAGAUGUUCUGGGCCGCACGCGCACUACACUGAUGAAUUCAACGAGCCUAGCCUUGUCCGAAAGGUCCGGGUAAUCUCUGAAACUUCAUCGUGAUGGGGAUAGAUCAUUGCAAUUAUUGAUCUUCAACGAGGAAUUCCUAGUAAGCGCAAGUCAUCAGCUUGCGUUGAUUACGUCCCUGCCCUUUGUACACACCGCCCGUCGCUUGUACCGAUUGGAUGGUCCGGUGAAAUCUUCGGAUAGCUGGUAGUUGGCUUGCCAUCUACUGCUAAAAGUUGCUUAAACCUUAUCAUCUAGAGGAACAAGAAGUCGUAACA